rnacentral:rRNA from 1 species
GAGAGUUUGCUCCUGGCUCAGAUUGAACGCUGGCGGCAUGCCUUACACAUGCAAGUCGAACGGCAGCGCGGGGCAACCUGGCGGCGAGUGGCGAACGGGUGAGUAAUAUAUCGGAACGUACCCUGGAGUGGGGGAUAACGUAGCGAAAGUUACGCUAAUACCGCAUACGAUCUAAGGAUGAAAGUGGGGGAUUCGCAAGAACCUCAUGCUCCUGGAGCGGCCGAUAUCUGAUUAGCUAGUUGGUGGGGUAAAGGCCUACCAAGGCAUCGAUCAGUAGCUGGUCUGAGAGGACGACCAGCCACACUGGAACUGAGACACGGUCCAGACUCCUACGGGAGGCAGCAGUGGGGAAUUUUGGACAAUGGGCGAAAGCCUGAUCCAGCAAUGCCGCGUGAGUGAAGAAGGCCUUCGGGUUGUAAAGCUCUUUUGUCAGGGAAGAAACGGUGGGGGCUAAUAUCCCUUGCUAAUGACGGUACCUGAAGAAUAAGCACCGGCUAACUACGUGCCAGCAGCCGCGGUAAUACGUAGGGUGCAAGCGUUAAUCGGAAUUACUGGGCGUAAAGCGUGCGCAGGCGGUUUUGUAAGUCUGUCGUGAAAUCCCCGGGCUCAACCUGGGAAUUGCGAUGGAGACUGCAAGGCUAGAAUUCUGGCAGAGGGGGGUAGAAUUCCACGUGUAGCAGUGAAAUGCGUAGAGAUGUGGAGGAACACCGAUGGCGAAGGCAGCCCCCUGGGUCAAGAUUGACGCUCAUGCACGAAAGCGUGGGGAGCAAACAGGAUUAGAUACCCUGGUAGUCCACGCCCUAAACGAUGUCUACUAGUUGUCGGGUUUUAAUUAACUUGGUAACGCAGCUAACGCGUGAAGUAGACCGCCUGGGGAGUACGGUCGCAAGAUUAAAACUCAAAGGAAUUGACGGGGACCCGCACAAGCGGUGGAUGAUGUGGAUUAAUUCGAUGCAACGCGAAAAACCUUACCUACCCUUGACAUGUACGGAAGCCACGAGAGAUCGAGGUGUGCUCGAAAGAGAACCGUAACACAGGUGCUGCAUGGCUGUCGUCAGCUCGUGUCGUGAGAUGUUGGGUUAAGUCCCGCAACGAGCGCAACCCUUGUCAUUAGUUGCUACGAAAGAGCACUCUAAUGAGACUGCCGGUGACAAACCGGAGGAAGGUGGGGAUGACGUCAAGUCCUCAUGGCCCUUAUGGGUAGGGCUUCACACGUCAUACAAUGGUACAUACAGAGGGCCGCCAACCCGCGAGGGGGAGCUAAUCCCAGAAAGUGUAUCGUAGUCCGGAUUGUAGUCUGCAACUCGACUACAUGAAGUUGGAAUCGCUAGUAAUCGCGGAUCAGCAUGUCGCGGUGAAUACGUUCCCGGGUCUUGUACACACCGCCCGUCACACCAUGGGAGCGGGUUUUACCAGAAGUAGGUAGCUUAACCGCAAGGGGGGCGCUUACCACG